rnacentral:rRNA from 1 species
CAUGUAGGCGGUCUGCUAAGUUCGGAGUGACAGUCACCAGCUUAACUGGUGAAGUGCUUUGAAAACUGGCUGACUUGAGAGCGAGAGAGGGACAUGGAAUUCCGGGUGGAGUGGUGAAAUGCGUAGAGAUCCGGAGGAACACCAAAGGCGAAGGCAGUGUCCUGGCUCGUUUCUGACGCUGAGGUGCGAAAGCCAGGGGAGCGAACGGGAUUAGAUACCCCGGUAGUCCUGGCCGUAAACGAUGACCACCAGGCGUGGGAGGGAUCGACCCCUUCUGUGCCGUAGUCAACACAUUAAGUGGUCCGCCGUGGGGAGUACGGUCGCAAGAACUAAAA